AUGCACCUCAGUUAUUUCAUCCUCACAGCCUUCCUGGGGCAACUGCUGGGCACCAAGGGACAGACCACUGUCACCCAGCAAGAAGGACAAGUCACAGUGAAGCAGAGAGACACCUUCCAAACCACCUGCUCCUACCAGAGCUCCAGCUUUGAUGUCUUGCUCUGGUACCAGCAGAGGAAAGGUCAAGGUCCCCACAUGGUCUCUUACCAUGUAGCAGCUGCUCACAAGCAGAGCGGCCGUUUCACCACCUUGCUGAACACCGCAGAGAAAUACAGCCACCUGCAGCUGGAGGAAGUCGAGGUCUCUGACAGUGCCGUGUACCUCUGUGCUGUGCAAGACACGCUGGUGCAGGGAGCUUCCUUGGCUGUGCAACAACCCAGGAAAGGGAGGGGGACCUGCAUGCCCAAGUCCCCCGGAAGGAAAUGUCAGGCCGACGGUGACCUGAGCCCACAGCAGGAGCCU